AUUGAACGCUGGCGGCAUGCCUUACACAUGCAAGUCGAACGGCAGCACGGGAGCAAUCCUGGUGGCGAGUGGCGAACGGGUGAGUAAAGUAUCGGAACGUGCCCAGUCGUGGGGGAUAACGUAGCGAAAGUUACGCUAAUACCGCAUACGAUCUAUGGAUGAAAGCGGGGGAUCGCAAGACCUCGCGCGAUUGGAGCGGCCGAUAUCAGAUUAGGUAGUUGGUGGGGUAAAGGCUCACCAAGCCGACGAUCUGUAGCUGGUCUGAGAGGACGACCAGCCAAACGGGGACUGGGACACGGCCCAGACUCCUACGGGAGGCAGCAGUGGGGAAUUUUGGACAAUGGGCGAAAGCCUGAUCCAGCCAUGCCGCGUGCAGGAUGAAGGCCUUCGGGUUGUAAACUGCUUUUGUACGGAACGAAAAGGUUUGGCCUAAUAAGCUGAGCUCAUGACGGUACCGGAAGAAUAAGCACCGGCUGACUACGUGCCAGCAGCCGCGGUAA
rnacentral:rRNA from 1 species